GUUAUAACCGGACUGCAUGCGAAUUUGAACUUCAGAGCUGAAGGAGCGGGUGGAGAAAUAGUCCCAAUAUCAUAACAAUCUUAAAUAAAACUUCUAAAUAUGCCCGUGUGUGUACCCGUGUGCGCGCGCGCGUGCGCGCGACCCGCUCACGCGCGCGUGUGUAUGUACAGUAUGUGCGUGAGUUUUUAAUUUAAAAUGUCUUAACUUAACUCGGAAGGAUCUGAAUCACAGGUCAUUUCAUCUGAGAUCAUUCCGCAUGUAACAGCCGGAAUCACUCACUGUUUCCCACAACGACACGAGUCAUCAGCCGUUUCCUCAAGGUCACGUCAGAGCGGUGUUGAUGUGGAGAGGCAGACCAGACCACCACCAUACGCGAAGAUGAGCCUCGAGGCGUGACAGUUAUUUUUUCAAACUGAGGAGUUCGGACUCCGGACCGUCAUUUCUGCUUGUUUGUACCCUGAGAUAACCAUGGUUAAUAAAUGGUCAGACACGUCACUGGCUUUAAAAUAUAAACCCCAUUGAUGCAAAAAGAUGCUGCAUGGAAUGACAAUGUGGUUUGGAACAGACUUGGUGAAGAACAUGGAAACAUCUCUUAAUAAAAUGGCCCCAAACAUCAUCAGGAGUGCAAAAGAAGGAAGUAAAAACAUCUCUACGCCAAUCUCAUUGGAGAGGAAACCACAGAAGGUCUGGUGAGGAAUGCUGCACUUAUGUUAUUGCAAGCAUUAUUUCAAGAAAAUCCCAGCUUCCUUGACUGUGUAAAUAGUGAACCCAAAGGUCCCACACCAACCAUAGUGUUCAACGGCUCUCCUGAUCUUUUCAAAUCUGAAUGUAUCAACUUUAUAAUGGACAAUGUGAACUUAAUAUGUGGAAGACAUUGACAUCACAGGCUGUGGAAUGACUGUGUCACAGGUCGGAGAAGCGGACCGCCCCUGUCGCGGAUCACGCUCCUCCUAGUUCCACCUCGAGGAGGUCCCAAAGCACCCCAAUGACCAGACAAACCAGAGGGGGAGUAUUACGGGGCCAGGGACGUUGGAGGGGUUUCCACGUGACUCCAGCUGGAACACCGCUACAGAGCGUAUCUGGGUGGGUUGGGCACACACCGUCGCGGCGGCCCCUGUUGGCAUCCACAAGGGUCCAAGACCCUCCUAAGCUCCUAGCCGUAGCAGAACUACGUAUUUCAGCACCCGAACGACUAACAACCCAGCCGGCAUCUGCAGCGUAUAUCCAACGCGAUCAAACUUCACUCUGACAAGUAACUUCCUAUACACAACCACGCCGUCCUUUCGCCCGGACCAGCCCCGCACUCUUUCCGCCCGCUACCUAGCGGUCGCCGGAUCAGCAGAGCCUGCGGACUCUUCGGAGGCUGGUCUUCGUUGUGCUGCCCAAGGCGGAAGUUGACUCGCCCGAAAAUCGACCCUUCCAGUAACUUCUACCUUCUCUCUUUAUAUCCUCCUCCCAGGCGUGGCUCGCCCAACCAUCGCUCGCCACGUCACUCACACAGCUGUGCCUUGUUUCAGCGAGUGCGGGGAUUCCCAGGGAACCCUGAAGUGCCGGUGUCUGUACAAACCGGUCCGGGCGGAACCUCUUCACUCUCCUUUUGGUUCCGCCCCGCAUAGUCACUCCGUGACAACUGUUUGCGUUUUUUUUUCUCCUCAAUGUUCAAUACCCUUUUGCCAUUAAGCACACAGUGACUUUAAUUUAUAAAAUAUAUGCUUAAGUUUUAAUACCUGUACAAAACAAAUGUACAAUCAACUUGUGUAAAUUGUCAUUCUAUUUAAUAGAUUGUUCAUGAAUUGUCUUUAAAUGCAUUGUGAUUUCGGUAACACUUUACAAUAAAGUUCAUUAGUUAACAUUAGUUAAUGUAUUAACUAACUUGAAGAAACCAUAAGCAAUACAUUUGUUACAGUAUUUAUUCAUCUUUGUUAAUGUUAGUUAAUAAAAAAUUAAGCUUUAAUUGCUUGUUCAUGUUAGUUCAGAGUGCAUUAACUAAUGUUAACAAGAUUUUAAUAAAGUAAUUGUUGAAAUUAACAUUAACAAAGAUUAAUAAAGGCUGUAUAAGUGCAGUUCAUUAUUAGUUCAUGUUAACUAAUGUAGCUAACUAAUGUUAACUAAUGAACCUUAUUGUAAAGUGUUACCGUGAUUUCUUUUCAUCAUUUCAGACACAUGUAAAAGUUACUAAAAAUUAAUACUGCAUAUACUGUACAGUAUCUAUGCGUAAGGGAAAUAACUUAAACAAAAUUUUUAAUGUAUAGUGUAAUUAAGAGUUUAGCUGUUUAAUACAGAGAUGCAAUUUAUUUAUAUAUAUUAUUUAUAUAUAAACGUAUGUAUGUUUAUUAAAAAGUGAAAAUGCUUAAUGGAAAUAAUUAAAUAACUAAAUGGUUGAAUGUAAUGAGACAUUUUAAAUGUAAACUAAAGUUUUGCUGUCUAAUACAGAAUAAAGAGAUGUGAUUUUAAGUAA